CCUACGGGAGGCAGCAGUGAGGAAUAUUGCUCAAUGGGCGAGACCCUGAUGCAGCGACGCCGCGUGAAUGAAGAAGUAUUUCGGUAUUGAAAACUCUAUCAACAAAGAAAAAAAUUACGGUACCUGAGUCAUAAGCCCCGUCUAACUACAUGCCAGCAGCCGCGGUAAUACGUCGGGGGCCAGCGUUAUCCGGAUUUACUGAGUGUAAAGGGAGCGUAGACGGCAGCGCAAGUCUGAAGUGAAAUGCCGCGGCUUAACCCCGGAACUGCUAUUGAAACUGUGAAGCUAGAGUGCAGGAGAGGUAAGUGGAAUUCGUAGUGUAGCGGUGAAAUGCGUAGAUAUUAGGAGGAACACCAGUGGCGAAGGCGGCUUACUGGACUGUAACUGACGUUGAUGCUCGAAAGCGUGGGGAGCAAACAGGAUUAGAUACCCGUGUAGUC
rnacentral:rRNA from 1 species